AUCAACAAAGCUUCGUUCAACCAGUAAGACAACAUGUCCAACACGUUGUGAAAAACAGGCAACUAGUGGGGAGUCGGAAACUGGAUAUCAAGGAUAUGGAAUAAAUCCACAUUCGGCUUGCCAUAUGCCUCAAACAUCUGGUGGCAGACUCACAAAGAAUUCAGAUUUGUGUCUCUUUCACAUUGUGAAAUAUGCCUACAUAAUACUUUUUUUUCCAUGCUUACGUUUAAAAGUUUAUUUAAUUCAUAUAUUAUUGAAUGUGAAAGGCGGUUGUUUUUCACACACAAGUCUGAGUUCUCCUGAGUCUGCUAGCCUACAUGUAGGCAUAUUUUCGGACACCUACUUUUGGGUGACGCGUGUGAUCAGAGCCCAUAGAGCAUUUGUAAUAUCAAUUCCAGAGAGAGAGACGUACUACAACAUAUCUGGUGUGAUUGUGCCACAUCGUGCUCUAAGAAUGGUGUUCUGUAAAACAUUGCACAUCCAUAGAAUUUUUUUCAAUCGUAUCUAACUUCAGAAGGGCAGUAUGGCUGGGCAACCCCAAGUAUGGGGUCCUUCUUAGAAACGUUCUUUAAAUUCGGCCAUUUUCCAAAGGGAUGUCUUUUCAGAUGUGCGAUUCAGAGCGCGAACAUCCUUUUUCGGGGAAGGGUGUUUUGUUUGAAAGCUGGACCACAUUUGAAAGGUUCCUGGAACCAAAUACCUGAAGAUGUCAAGUGCGUCAAACGGGUUCCAUUGCAAAAACGAAUUGGAUUGGUGGCUUCUGUUAUUUGAAGAAAGUAAAACAGCAUUGUUUCAAAUCCGUCUGUAUACAAGUGCUUAGUUUCUUGCCUUUAUAUAGAAGUGUAUAAAAAUGAAUGUAUAAUGUGAAAAUUAUGUAAUGCUGUGCACUUGGUGAUGUCCAGUCCCCAGGUAAUUGUUCACUAUGGUAGUGCAUGUAUUCAGCCAUUCUUUAACAUUAGUCUUUAGUUUGUCAGUUUGGGUUCAAACAUUUUGCCACAUUCUGGCUGCCAAAUUCAUGACAACGGUUGGGCAUAUGCAUCAUGAAUUAAACUGACCAACAGUUUAAACCUAAUAAAGCACAUUGUCUGUUGUAAAUCA